CGUAAACGCUCGAAAUCUCUUUCUUUUGGACGGAAGCCAUUAUCAUCCACAUCCAGUUCAAGAAAACCUAGUGCCGUCGUUACAAUGCAAAAGUGAACGACCGAUUAAGCGGCUUGAAAUGGUCCGCAUUGAUGGCUGCUUGUUCAGCCCAAGUUUGUAUACCAAGUUUGGCAGCGUGUGAGGUUGGAAUUUGCCGAUUUUAGUCGCUCAUGAUUGGUGAGUGUUGAAGGGAUAAAGACAACCGGUCAUACACUACUUGUCCGAUUCGGAAAAGCUUUAUGACGAGCCUGAGGGCGAAAGAAAUCACAGCAAUAGAUUUCUUAAUUGGGAAAAUGAGCUGUUUCACCGUGUUCACUUAGGCCGGAGGGCCACCGGGCAUCACUUGUCACAUGGAAACAAUUGGACCUCGAAUUGUAAAUGUGUAAUUGGUCUCCAAAGGCCGUGCCCUCAAUAUUUAUGGCUUUGGUUUUGGAAAAGCGCUUGUGCUCUGCCCCAAUAGCUCCGCACCGUCCGUGUGGCUCGAAUUAUGAAGGAAUUUGGUCUCAUCUUUUUUACCAGCUCACCUACCGCCAGAACGGCUUCUUCAACUUGCACAGCUACUAGGUUCUGGUCCUGGACAUGGGGUGGACUUGACCAAUUUCGAUCUGAAGCCCUGAUAAGGGCUUAGAGAACGGCCCUCGUUCUCGCCUGCAUGCAGAAUCCAUUACUCUGAAUUGCUUCUUCGAACUUGCCUCGUUGUGGUGGUGCUCAAGCCGGCCGAUGAGAGGAGAACGAGGCAAGAAGUGGUCAAAAAUUAUCUCGAGUUUGAAUCCUUUCUGGUCUUGCCAUCCACAGGCUGUCUCAUCGAUGUCGAUAUCUACCCGGGAGUUGACCUGUGAAGUGAUGAAUGACAAUGUAAAGGCAAAAGUUGAUCUGAGAGCCCCAAUACCCAUUGAAAAAAAGGAUAUCGGAAUUCCCGAUCAGAAAACAAGACUUGCUUCUGAUGGACCAGGAGUGAAUGAGUGAGAGAGAGAGAGAGAGGAAAUUAUCAAGCAUCACUAUUGCAUUUAUUUCAACACUCGCCGCUCCAAUUGCCCUCCAAAAGGUGCAUCAAAGUUUGAAACGCUCGAAAAGCACUUGCUUUUUUCCUCUUCUUUCCUCGUCUUUUUCCCGGGGUCAAACUCGUGUAAAGUUGACUUGAUCUUUUUUUCUCGGCUUCUUCGGUGUUCUGAAAUGUCUGAGGCAGACUUGGAAUGGGAACUAUUUUCCUAACGAACCCGAUUUUCGGGCUAUCUCUCUCAAAAUGCAGUUCAGAUUUUGGUGGCCGCUUAAUGAUUCCGUGGCUUUUUGGGAGGCAUGAAGACGAUUCAAAAAUUAAAAAAAAAAACCUCUCGCUUACGCACAAAGAUUUAGGGGAUCGAAUGUACGGACGUGUCCUCCCCUCAUCUCUAUUGUUUUGAAGGGCACAAUGUCCGAGGUAACUUGGUUGAGGAGAUCGUUUUGUGCGGUAAUUCUGGUCGGCCAUGUCCGCAGAUUCGCGCUUAAAUUUGAGAUAUCUCCGAAAUUUGGGCCAUGAUGAGAGAAGACGUUAAUGCUAAGCGACAGGUUAGUCAUUGAUAAAUCGUUGUCAACAAGUUGUUUCAGACAAAACCUUAUUCCAUUAGUAGGAUCGGGAUAAGAUUCCGAGUCCACGGAGCGAUCUACAUUUGGAUUUACGGUUCUCUUCAUCCUUGUUUGGGUUGUGGUGAUCAUGGUGGUGGACUCGAUGCUGUCGAUAUUUUGAGCCCCUGGUUCACAUGAGCAAGCCAUGCAUAGGGCGGCCAAAACGGGAGCUCCCAGGGCGAUGAUCGUCCUCUUGCCGAAACCGCCAAAGCCGCUAUAGUUUUCUUCGGCGAUCAUCGCCCUUCGCUGCGUACACACAUACACACACUACUCAUUCUGACUUGAGCAUCCAAACCGAUCUCCAAGCCUCACCACGAUCAAAGCGAAGGAAGAAAGAGUCGGAGAAGAGCCAACUGCUGUCAAUUAGAACGAUGAAUUAUAGACUUUGGUCGAGCACGCCAAACUUGGGAGAUCUGUGGACGAUUUCUUCGUUUUCCCUCUUCAGUCCACAAUGCACAAGCUAGCCACUUCUCUUCUCCCCACCGCCUUCCAGACAAAACAUGACGUUAGUGUAGUACCUCCAAAUUAGGGAUGCAUAGGGAGCCCAAAACAGGGAGAGACCUCGCGUCUUGUCUCGGAUUAAGGAAAUCAAAGUGUUCGGAGCGAUAAUCUCCCGGAAGAGUUUAGUCAACCUCGAAUUUCAGGGGACUACCCAAUGAUGGCAGUAAUCCAAGACCAAUGACUGUCACAGGGGUUGAAGAACCGGCGGGAAUCCACGAGAAAAGAGACGAAACUGGAUCUUGGCCAAAUGAGAAACGCUCGAGAGCAAACGAAAUCCCCUUUCCUCAAACCUGGUAGAGUUCAUCGAGGACCAAUGAUGAGCUCUUUACUAGCAGCUGAUUUGUGGACCAAGCAUUGUGUCUCAAUUCUUCGAAAACAACUUGAAUAAUCCAAUUCAAAUAAGGGCCAUUCACUAUUUGUGUGAGCGUUUGAAGUGAGUCAAAUUGAAAAACAUUUUUUUUUGAUCUCGGAAGUUUGGCAGAGAUAUCAUUAGGGAGUGGCGGAUGGAUGAGCACGAGCUCAAAGGAGCGAUAGAGGGAGAACAGGGGAGGAGGAUGAGCAAGCUGAUCACAACGACGGGGUCGAGGAUGAUUAUGGAAAUCCCUGCAUUUUCUUAGCGCACGUGUUCCGUCUCAAGACAAGCUUGGACACUCCCCCGGGUCUUAUUUGUCCGGGAGAGCACGGUUUGUCGUCAUUGUUCUCCCGUGGCUCGUAAACAACUGGAGCAAAAACAAACCUGUCUCUUCUUCUAUGAACUAAUUCUACUCUAUCUGAAGACAUGACAAGUGAAAUUUCAUCAAUGCACCACCCUUCAAAGCUGUACCCGGAUCAUCAACAUCGUUAUCAUCCAUCCACCUACUAUUCCAGUGCUUUGGGCUACUCCUGAAUCAGGCCUCGGGUGAUUUGAAUCUCGAGAAAGUAGGAAAUCAAAUCCCUCGGCGCCAACCCACGAGAAAGAGGGAGUGUCAAGGGUGUCGGGAUUUGGGACUGGGGAACGACAGAUGAGACGCGAAAUGAAUGAGUGAGUACCGGGGCGGGUACCACACUUGACAUGGAUAUCAAACUUAGGCCACUUCCGCCUCGGUCUCCGUCGUCGUCGACUCAUUUCCCUCAGGUCAAAACGUAAAAACGCCACAUGUGUAUCCACUACAUACAGUAUUGUCUACUGGCCGUGCCAGAACUCGGCAUGUCACUCUACUUGUUCUCUGAGAUGUUGAGAAAAAGCCACAUUGAACAUUCUUGAGUGCGGGUCUGGGGAUCUGGAUUGCGCCUUAGACGUACCUCCUCACAAAUGUGUCAUGUCUCUGCUCCUGUUUGAUGUUCUUCUCACAUAGUUCACAAUCAUUUGUCUCCUCGUGAAUCUUUGUCAGCAUCUCGUGAAUAAAGUUUCCUCAAUAGGAAAAAAAAUACGCCGAAUGAACGGUCCAGGAAGUGAGUCGAAUGUGGGAAAAAAGCGAUGCUCAUGAAAGAUCGAGGGUCUGUGUCUCCAUUCGUCCCACAACGUCCAAGCAGGCGUUCACGUGGCGGAUCAGAACUUUUUUUCCGGGGUUGAUUGGGUCCGGGUGGAACGGAUGGAUUAACUUGCUUGUUGAAUGAAAUUAGUGUUAAGAACCUCAUCAUGAAGCAUUUUUGUACAAUAUGAGGGAAUUUAUGAACUCGCAAACUGCCAAUUCACGCCACGCCGCAGCGUGGGCAAUAAAGUGCAAUCAGGCGAGACAAUGCAAUCCUUGCACUUGGAUAAGAACCGUGUGUUCAAACUCCCUCGGAUGUGGAAAUCCAGAACAAAACCUAGCUUUUUAAAGCAGAUCCGCAAGCCAACUGACAAAAUAUCAUUUCUCUAUCUCCUGGUAGACAGGACCUCAUUUCUUCUGCCGGCUUUUUGCCUCUGAUAUCAGAAUUAUUCAGGCUCCCUCGUGAGGAUGAACAAUAAACGCUUACAACAACUGCUACUACUACCACCACCAUCACCAUCACUGCCCUUACCGGGCAUCCUUCUCCUGCCUCUGGAACAACUGGUUUAGUACCCAAUAACAGAGCCAACCGCCACCCUCAGUACGACUACCAAAAAAAGAAUCACUCCGAAUUUGAUUGAGUGUAUACGAUGGACUAGAAUUGUUUCCUUCCCCCUGGUCCUGGAUAGGCAGCCGAUCGCUCGAAGUGGUCCGGACAUCAUUUAUGGUAAAGUAGCAAAAAAACCUACAAUACAAUUUUCCCCCGGAGGGGGUGACUCACGUUAGUCCACCAGACACUUCUGCGAGUGAGCUCAUACAAUACGAAUCGGGUCCCACUGUGACACCCUGCUGCCCGAAACCUCAAUUCUCCACGAAGAAGAAAAAAAAAACCUUUUUUUUUUCGCCGGCAAAGCCACGCCCAUGUGAUAACAAGCUCAUGAGAACAGUCAGGGGCAUGCAAAACUUCUCGAGUGGAGACCGACUGGCUUGAACGUCGCGAUGAUGAUGAGGGAGAACACUGUAAGUGUGUGGGAACAUUGACCGACAUUAAGAGACUCGGUGGAAAUCUUUCCUACUUAAUUUUUAGCACUGCUACGUAUAUUUGGGAUGAUAUCACAAACAACUGUGUUUUACAAUCUUCCAUAUUGAUUAAUAAAUGAAUAUUUUCCUGCUU